AUGUGUUUUCCGUCACUGAAAAUAUUGACGGUAGUGUGUGGUUCUUAGCGCUGCUUGAUAGGUCAGAGGUCAGGAAAAUCGUCAAAAUCAGUAGAUGUUUCACUGAUCGCAAUGAUUCAUUCGCGGUGGCCCAAGUUCUUGACAACUUGCGGACCAUUUGUCCAAUGGAGAUAACACACAACAGCAGAGGUGACAUUUUGAUCUUAGACGACAAUAAAAAAGAGGUCCAUAUCGUGAACAAAAUUGGGAAUCUGACGUGGUCUUGGUCUUUUAGAGGGAAUAUUGAAAGUAUUUGUGUUGAUCCCUCAGACAAAUUAUGGGUAGCCGAUUCUGACGGCGAUAUUAAAGCUUUUGGAUGUUAUAGAUUGUGUAAACCAAUUUCUCGGCAAGGAGUCAAAAAUGUUCUAAAGAAAUACUCAAAGAAUCGUUUCUGGGGUGUGAGUCAUGCGAAAUCGUUAGCUGCUAGUGUAACGUUUAGCAAACAUUUGAAAAAGCACCACAACGAAAUAUCCUGUGAAAUCUGUUCAUUUUCAUAUAUGUACCCAUCGUUGCUAGCCACGCUUCCUGAGUCCGGAAGUACCAACCUCAAACCGAAUUGACGUAGCGUGAACGGAGACAAUUAACAUGUUUUGCGAUGAUGGUCCGAGCCCGGUAAUUUAUCAUUUCCAGUAUCUUUAGUAACUUGACUCUAAUUCAGGAAUCAAAUGUAUCAUACCAGAUGGAAAACCAACACAGUGCCGUCCUGCUGUCACCGAACGGUUACCAAGAAAUGUCACUCAAAAGUCCGCUUUGGUGUAUGUGAGUAAUCGUCUGUCGGUGAAUCCCAGAGUUAGACAUAUAGAUUCUAUACAUAAAUUGCCAUUUGCCAGUUUCCAUAUAUGUACAAGAAAAAAUACAGUGAUGAAAGUUGAGAAAAAGACAGACAUUCCUUUUUGAUGUUACAUAUUGUAUAUGUAUGACAGUUAGGCUAUCUAUAGCGUAAUAACGAUAAACAUGUGAAGUGUUUGCUAAUUUAGAAAUGGAAGACAUUUUCUGAAAGUGUCAUUUAGAUGUGUUUGAUAGAUACCUGUAGUUUUUAUACAAUACAUAUUGAAAGAAAGCCUUUUAGAAGGCAAAUUUAAUGAAGAGGAUAUGCAUAGAUAUGGAUGUCAGAAAUAUAAAAGAAUAUUUAUUAACUUUCUUGUUAUACCUGUACUAAGGACAAAUGAUCAAAGUAAAAAAUUAUCAUUUAAGAAAUAAAGGGUCAAUAUCAAGGGUGAAUAAUUUGUAUUAAAGGAAGGUCCUGGACCCUUUCCAGGGAAUGAUAACUGCAAAAUAUGAUGGGUUAUUCAAAUCCGCUGUAGAUCCACAGGACAAGAAAUGACAAAACUGUGUGAAUACCGUUGUAUAGGAUUUCAAAACAUUGUUUUUGAGGACAUAGUGGCGCCAUCAUAUAAGAGGUCCAUUUAUUUAUUGUUUGGAAAUGGUGUAUUUGUAAAAUAAUUAAGAAAUUAA